rnacentral:rRNA from 1 species
GUAGGGAAUAUUGCACAAUGGGCGAAAGCCUGAUGCAGCAACGCCGCGUGAGGGACGACGGCCUUCGGGUUGUAAACCUCUUUUAGUAGGGAAGAAGCGAAAGUGACGGUACCUGCAGAAAAAGCACCGGCUAACUACGUGCCAGCAGCCGCGGUAAUACGUAGGGUGCAAGCGUUAUCCGGAAUUAUUGGGCGUAAAGAGCUCGUAGGCGGUCUGUCGCGUCUGCUGUGAAAACUGUAGGCUCAACCUCCAGCCUGCAGUGGGUACGGGCAGACUAGAGUGCGGUAGUGGAGAUUGGAAUUCCUGGUGUAGCGGUGGAAUGCGCAGAUAGCAGGAGGAACACCGAUGGCGAAGGCAGAUCUCUGGGCCGUAACUGACGCUGAGGAGCGAAAGCGUGGGGAGCGAACAGGAUUAGAAACCCGAGUAGUCC